rnacentral:rRNA from 1 species
AUGAGCGGAUUUGCUAGAGGCGGUCGACCAGUGGAGGUGAGGAGGUUAUCCCCGAUGCCCACAUUCCCGAUGCUCGUCUUUUCCUCUCCCAAGUGGCUGCUAGGGUUGCCCCCGCCAUCGCCGCCCCCAUCCCACCUCCUCCGGCGCUGCCCAUCUCCCUUGAGUAGUGCGGUCUGGCGCUCAGCUACGAGGGCAAGGAUCCCCAGCCGCACCAUCCACGUCCUUGCCGUUGUGAUCGCCGCGUCGGGAAGGCAGCACGAACACGCGAUUAGAGGAUCCAGGAGGUUGGUACAUGAGGACGUGGGAAACCAAUGA